rnacentral:rRNA from 1 species
GGCGAGUGAAGCGGCAAAAGCUCAAAUUUGAAAUCUGACGUCCCCGACGUCCGAGUUGUAAUUUGGAGAGGCAUCUUCUGGAGGGGCCCAGCCUAUGUUCCUUGGAACAGGACGUCAUAGAGGGUGAGAAUCCCGUUCUUGGCUGGAUGUCCCCACCUGUAUGUAGUGUCUUCUACGAGUCGAGUUGUUUGGGAAUGCAGCUCAAAAUGGGUGGUAAAUUUCAUCUAAAGCUAAAUAUUGGCGAGAGACCGAUAGCGCACAAGUAGAGUGAUCGAAAGAUGAAAAGCACUUUGAAAAUAGAGUCAAACAGUACGUGAAAUUGUUGAAAGGGAAGCGCUUGAGACCAGACUCAGCCUCGGGCAAACAACCCUCCUUCUGGUGGGUGCACUUGCCCUUGGCUGGGCCAGCAUCAGUUGGGAGGGCGGGAUAAAGGCCCAGGGAAUGUGGCUCCUCUCGGGGAGAGUUUAUAGCCCAGGGUGCCAUGCCGCCCCUCCCGACUGAGGACCGCGCUUCGGCAAGGAUGCUGGCGUAAUGGUCUUCAGCGACCCGUCUUGAAACACGGACCAAGGAGUC